rnacentral:tRNA from 1 species
CCUGAUAGCUCAGAUGGUAAAGAAUCUGUCUGCAAUGCAGAAGACCAGGGUUCAACCCUGAGGUCAGGA